UAUAAUUCUACGCUCCCAACAACUCUCAUCACUACUUCAACAGCGGGUUUCAGCAUCACUCGAUUCACCGACAACAAAUGGCGGACGCAGUUCUCUUCAACGUUGCUGCGAGUAUCAUUACGAGUUCGGGCUCUCUUGCUCUCCAAAAAAUUGGACUGCUCUGGGGUUUCAAAGAUGAGCUUCAAAAGCUCGGGAACACGGUUUCCACCAUCCAAGCUGUGCUUUUGGAUGCGGAGGAGCAGCAGGCCCACAACCAUGCGGUCAAAGAUUGGCUUGGGAAGCUCAAGGAUGCCAUGUACGAAGCCGACGACUUACUGGAUGAUUACUCCACCGAACUUCUACGGCGACAAUUGAUGACACGGGAUAAGAUCAAGGCUAAACGGGUACACAUCUUUUUUUCAAAAUUGAACCAGCUUGCAUAUGGCUUUAAAAUGGGUUAUCGGAUCAAGGCAGUUAGGGAGAGACUUGAUAACAUCGCAGCUGAUCAAAUCAAAUUUGGCUUCAUUGAGCGCCCUAUAGGGACACAGUUUGAACAUAGGAAGAGAGAAGAUACACACUCUUUUGUACAUGAGAAAGAAGUCAUUGGGAGAGAUGAUGAAAUGAAGGCUGUUAAAGAGUUGUUAUUGGAUUCCGAUGUGAAAGAGUACGUUUCCAUCAUUCCAAUAGUUGGGAUUGGUGGACUAGGCAAGACCACACUUGCUCAAUAUGUGUACAAUGACGAGGAGGUCAAAAAACAUUUUGAGCUAAGACUCUGGGUAUGCGUCUCUGAUCAUUUUGAUGUGAAAACUAUCGUUGCAAAGCUCAUAGAAUCUGCAACUAAGAAGAGACCUGAAAGCCUUGAGAUGGAUUUGUUACAAAGUCAACUUCGAGCAAAAAUUGAUGGAAAACAAUAUUUACUUGUUUUAGACGAUGUAUGGAAUGAGAAUCGUGGUAAAUGGUUGGACUUGGAAAAACUGUUAUCGGGUGGCCUCAAGGGAAGCAAAGUUUUGAUUACUACACGUAGCAAAAGAGUUGCAGAGAUUACAUGCACAUUGCCACCGUAUCUUUUGGGAGGUCUAUCAGAAAGCAAUUCUUGGGAUUUAUUUAAGAGAAUGACAUUUAAAGACGGGGAAGAGCCAAAGAAUCCAAAGUUAGUAGAAAUUGGAAGAGAGAUCAUUAAAAAGUGUGCACAAGUUCCUCUUGCUAUAAGGAGCAUAGGGAGUCUAUUAUACUUCAAAAACUCUGAAGCUGAUUGGCUCUACUUUAAAAAUAAUGAACUUUACAAAAUAACUCAACAAGACAAUAGUAUUUUCCCAAUACUUAAGUUAAGUUAUGAUCAUCUCCCGUCACAAUUGAAGCAAUGUUUUGCUUUUUGUUCGAUAUUUCCAAAAGAUCAUGAAAUUGAAGUGGAGGUGUUGAUUCAGCUAUGGACAGCUCAAGGCUUUAUUCAUUGGUCAGAUAGAACUAGAUGUCUUGAAGAUGUUGGUCGUGAGUAUUUUAUGGAUUUGCUCUGGAGGUCUUUUUUCAAAGACAUACAAAGAGAUGAAUAUGGUGAUAUAGAAAGAUGCAAAAUGCACGACCUUAUUCAUGAUCUUGCACAAUUAGUAGCAGGGGAUGAGUGCAUAAUUUCAAAUCCCGAUGCAGAAAACAUAGUUGAAAGAACUCGCCACGUGGCAUUUUAUUCCUUAAAUUUAUUAAGGGAUAUUCCAACUCCCUUGUUCAAGGCACACAGAAUGAGAACGCUUCUUUCAGUAUAUUCAUGGAGCCAUAGGCAAGUCUAUGAUGCACUUAUUUCAAGUUUUAAAUGCUUGCGUGCCUUGAAUUUGAGUAAGACGGAUAUUAAAGAAGUACCGGAUUUCAUUGGCAAGUUAAAGCAUUUAAGAUAUCUUAAUCUUUCUUGGAAUGAUAUCGAACUACUCCCCGCUUCUAUAACUAAAUUGCAGAAUUUGCAAACACUAAGACUUGAGUAUUGUAGUGGGCUUAAAGAAUUGCCAGAAGACAUUACAAACUUGAUCAGCCUUAGGCAUCUUGUGCUUUAUGGGUGUCACAGCUUGACUCAUAUGCCGCAUGGGUUGGGAAAGUUGACCGCUCUCCAAACACUGACGCAAUACACUUUGGGAAAGAAGGGAAGUUGUGUUCGAAAGCGAAAGGGUGGGCUAGCCAAUCUGGAAAGUUUAGAUGAGUUGAGAGGAGAAUUAGAUAUCAUUGGUUUAAAGCACUUGAGAUCUUCUCCAUUAGAAGCCAAUGCUGCAAUCUUGGAGAGGAAGCAAUACCUUCGAACGUUGAGAUUAAAGUGGGCCGGCCCAGAUUUUGAUGAUCGGGAUAGUGAUAAGGCAAUUGAAAAUGACGAACAGCUGUUGCAAAACCUUCAGCCACACCUCAAUUUGAAACAAUUAAUGAUAGAAGGGUAUGCAGGCGUGAGGUUUUCCAGCUGGGUGUCGUCGCUCUCCAAUUUGGUUAAAAUUAGCAUAAGCAAUUGUAAAUGGUGCCAACAUAUCCCACCAUUUGACCGAUUCCCUUUUCUCAAGGAUGUUUCUCUUAAGAACUUGAGUGCGCUGGAGUACAUAAGCAAUGAUGCCAGUGACGUGUCCUCUUCAUCUCUUGAAAGUCUCGAACUUUUGGAUUUGCCUAAGUUGAGGGGAUGGUGGAGGAUGAGGGAAGCAAUAAUAGCAGAACAAGAGCCACAUCAUCAUCUUCCAUUAUUUCCAUCUUUUCCUUGCAUUUCUUCUUUAAGGAUCCAAUUUUGCCCAAGGAUGUCUCUAAUAUCAGUGGUAGCACCAGGGAGCCAAACAAUACCCUCCUCUUCCUCUCCCUUUUCGGAUCUCUCCGAAAUGAAGUUUCUUUCUCUUGACGGAUUAGAGGAACUUGAAUAUCUUCCGGAGGAGUGGCUGCAAAACCUCACUUCUCUUGAGACUCUGGAUAUUCUGUGGUGUCCUAAACUGCGAAUAUCUCUGUCUCCACUCUUUCAACAUCACACCGCGCUUAAAGAUGUGACGAUUGCUAACUGUAGGGAACUUAUCAGUAAUGAGGAUGAAGAGGGCACACAAUGGCUUGGACCUACAACACUUCGUCUUCUAUCUAUAAAUUAUGUUCCAAGCUUGGUGUCUCUCCCAAGGGAGCUUAGACAUGUUACCACUUUGCAAGAGCUUUACAUAAUGAACUGCCGUGCACUGACGUCUUUACCGGAGUGGAUAGGCGACCUCACUUCACUUAAGAAGCUUCAGAUCUGGAAGUGUCCCAAUUUAAUAUCACUGCCUGAAGGUAUGCGCCGCCUCACCUCUUUACAUCAUUUGAGAAUUUGGCGCUGUCCUCACUUGGAGAAAAGAUGUGAACAAGGAACAGGAGAGGAUUGGCCAAAGAUUGCUCAUGUCUCAGACUUUUCGAUUCAUUCUUAAGCUUAAUGCGCCAAUUAUUCUUCAGAACUAACUGUACCAUGGAACAAACGAGGGUUUAAGAAUAGACAUAUUUUCAGACCUUGCCGACAAUCAGAUUUGCCCGAAGCUCUCAAAUUUCCAGACUUUGUACAUUAAACAUUUCAGCUUCUGAAAGUGUUAUGAGCAUAACAACAACUGACUCCUGGGCUUCCUUUGCACCAUAUUUAGCCAAUGUAGUAUGUUGUCCUCAAUUUGAUGCAACAGUAGUGAUUAUUAUUGGGCAAUCCACAAAGUACUCCAAGAGCCUUGCUUUGAACAAGACUCAUGCUAAGCACUUCCUCUGAGAUGUUGAGAAGAUCCUAGAAAGUUAAGGGGCAAAUGAGAAUCUACAAAAGAUCUGUUCAUUUUACCUAGAGAACCUCACAGAAUUCUCUUGCCCUGUUACGGAUGUUAAUGAGUUUGAUUGUUUGAGCACAUUGCAUACUUUUCAAGACUUAUGGUUGCUUGUGGAAGGAAAUUAAGGAUUGAUCCUGUCAACGAGUGUUGUGACCAAGUUUGCCAAAAUGCUAUACAAGAUGGUGCUAGAAAAAUUGCCCUAAUGUGAUAUGCUAGUGGGAUCACAAGAGUCUGGCUACCUUUUACCAAGCUUGCCUUCAGAUGCAACAUACGAUUGAUAGAACUUCAGGGGUCAGCUUCCUUUGCGAUCUUAGUGAUAACAUUGCAGCUCCUUGGCCUGUAAAUCUUAUGUACCUCCUUCUACCUGGAAUAAAACUACCAAACAUCUCCAGCACUCCCCACAGCAACAUCUGCACAAAGUGGUCGAUACACCAACAACUUGAUGUUUUCCCUGCUUGUGACCUUAUUACUGCUUCCCAACAUGCUUCUUUGAUAUUCGUAUUCACUGUUACUUGAUUCUUUUGGCCACAAACAGAAGCUGCUCUUUCUGCAAAACAGCUUCAUAAAUCUUGAUUGCUGGUAUAUAUAUGUAGCGUUAGUGACUUGAGUUUCUCGAGUCUUACCGUGAGGCCCAUACUCACUUCUUGUUGCUUGCUGUCCACACACGUGGAUGUCUCUCUUUUAGUUGAGUUGAAAAGCUUCCUUUGGAUGGAAGCUAAAAAAGGCAUAAGCCUUUUGGUUGCUAAAGCGAAAGACAUUCGGUCCUUCAGAGCAGUGUGCGAAAAAGAAAAGAAGAGAAGAAGAAGAGAUCCAAGCAGCAGUGAUCGGCAGCACAUUUGGGAGAGAUAUAAGUCAUCUUUGUCUCACUUGUAUUUCUCUUGUGUGCCAAGAGAUAAGGGAACUAAGAGAGGUUUUCUCUUUUAGGUUUAGUCAUCCUUGUGAGCAUGAGAUAAGGGAGUAUUGGGCUGUUGGGUUUGAGUGGUUUUCUUUGUACUGCACUAUGUACUUUACCUCUUAAUAGUGAAUUUUUUCUGGAUCGUCUCCACCGGUGGAUGUAGGCUUGUUAAGCCGAACCACUUAAAUAUUGGUAUUUCAUGUGAUUUUUUGU